GACGAACGCUGGCGGCGUGCUUAACACAUGCAAGUCGAGCGGAAAGGCCCUUCGGGGUACUCGAGCGGCGAACGGGUGAGUAACACGUGAGUAAUCUGCCCUUGGCUUUGGGAUAACUACCGGAAACGGUGGCUAAUACCGGAUACGACAACCGUCUGCAUGGGCUGGUUGUGGAAAGUUUUUUCGGCCAGGGAUGUGCUCGCGGCCUAUCAGCUUGUUGGUGGGGUAAUGGCCUACCAAGGCUUCGACGGGUAGCCGGCCUGAGAGGGUGACCGGCCACACGGGGCAUGGGAACCGGCCCAGACUCCUACGGGAGGCAGGAGUGGGGAAUAUUGGACAAUGGGCGGAAGCCUGAUCCAGCAACGCCGCGUGAGGGAUGACGGCCUUCGGGUUGUAAACCUCUUUCAGUACCGACGAAGCGCCGAUGAUGGUGGUGACGGUAGGUACAGAAGAAGCACCGGCCAACUACG
rnacentral:rRNA from 1 species